rnacentral:rRNA from 1 species
GAUGAACGCUGGCGGCGUGCCUAAUACAUGCAAGUCGAGCGAACAGACGAGGAGCUUGCUCCUCUGACGUUAGCGGCGGACGGGUGAUUAACACGUGGAUAACCUACCUAUAAGACUGGGAUAACUUCGGGAAACCGGAUCUAAUACCGGAUAAUAUAUUGAACCGCAUGGUUCAAUAGUGAAAGACGGUUUUGCUGUCACUUAUAGAUGGAUCCGCGCCGCAUUAGCUAGUUGGUAAGGUAACGGCUUACCAAGGCAACGAUGCGUAGCCGACCUGAGAGGGUGAUCGGCCACACUGGAACUGAGACACGGUCCAGACUCCUACGGGAGGCAGCAGUAGGGAAUCUUCCGCAAUGGGCGCAAGCCUGACGGAGCAACGCCGCGUGAGUGAUGAAGGUCUUCGGAUCGUAAAACUCUGUUAUUAGGGAAGAACAAAUGUGUAAGUAACUAUGCACGUCUUGACGGUACCUAAUCAGAAAGCCACGGCUAACUACGUG